rnacentral:lncRNA from 1 species
GUUACUGCCUUGACUGAAGUUUAUGAUUCUGAUGAAGAAUCAAAUUAUGAAGAACUCGCUAUUGAGGAACUUGCCGAGUCAUACAAAGAAUUGUGCCUAAAAAGUGAAGAAGUGUGUUAACUAGGAGAAGAUCAAAAGAAAGUCAUUGCUCAACUAUAGGCUGAAAAAGUGGAGCAUAUGUUUAUCGUCUCUGUUGGAUGUGUU